UAGUAGUCCCCUUGGCCGCCGUCCGUACAGCAGUUCAAAGGGGGAGAACCCUGUCGAGGCCUGGGGUACCUCUCUCACCGCGAAGAGGACGUGAGGGAGGAGCUGGUCCCAGUUCUUUCCGUCUUUCUCCAUGCAUCUUCAGCAUGUGCUUUAAGGUUUUGUUGAACCUUUCCACCAGCCCGUCCGUCUGGGGGUGGUACACUGAAGUCCUCAGCUGCUUCACCUGCAGGAGACUGAGAAGCUCUUUUAGCACACGCGACCAGUUUAAAGGUAGCUUAAGGGGUAGGGGGAGGGCUAACAUCCCCUCAAAAUUGAGAUUUUCGAUGGGCACCCUCAAAGCGCUUCAGUUGUGACGUGCUCCCACAAUACCUUGCGAGAAAACGGAAAAUCAAGAAAUAUCCUAGACAAGAUGGAGGGCGAAAAGAUGAGACAGGAUUGGAAAAACACAAAUGACUUCGUUGAGUCCACUGCCACCAGUCCCCCCACCUCUCCCUCAUGCUCCUCCACCCCAGGCACCUCUUCCACCACCCCAGGCACCUCUUCCAAGAGGAGAGUGCCAGGGGGCAGGCGAGGCAUGAGGAGAGCGAGGCAAAGUUGGCGGAAUGGUGGAGAAGAUGUGAUUCUCCACCAUUCUCUCAAAAGCUGAGAGAGAGUGUGUGUGUGUAUUUUUAGGUGUGCGUGUGUGUGUAUUUUUAGAUGCGUGUGUGUGUAUUUUUAGAUGUGUGGUUCAGUGUUUCUUAUUUAAAUAAAGUGUUUCUUCUAAA